UGAGCAACCUGCCCUUCACAUUGGGAUAACCCCGGGAAACCGGGGCUGAUACCGAAUACGACCACCGACGACAUCGUCUGGUGGUGGAAAGUUCCGGCGGUGAGGGAUGGGCUCGCGGCCUAUCAGCUAGUUGGUGGGGUGACGGCCCACCAAGGCGACGACGGGUAGCCGGCCUGAGAGGGUGACCGGCCACACUGGGACUGAGACACGGCCCAGACUCCUACGGGAGGCAG
rnacentral:rRNA from 1 species